AACGAACGCUGGCGGCAUGCCUAACACAUGCAAGUCGAACGAGACCUUCUGGUCUAGUGGCGCACGGGUUCGUGACGCGUGGGAACCUGCCCUUGGUUUGUAACUAAUGCCCCGAAUGGGUUCUACAUGCGGAUAAAGGUCUGCGAUCCAAACUUUUAUCGCCUUUGGAUGGGCCCGCGUUGGAUUAGCUGGUUGGUAGGGUAAAAGCCUACCAAGGCGACGAUCCAUAGCUGGUCUGAGAGGAUGAGCAGCCACACUGGGACUGAGACACGGCCCAGACUCCUACGGGAGGCAGCAGUGGGGAAUAUUGGACAAUGGGCGAAAGCCUGAUCCAGCAAUGCCGCGUGAAUGAUGAAGGCCUUAGGGUUGUAAAGCUCUUUUACCCGGGAUGAUAAUGACAGUACCGGGCGAAUAAGCUCCGGCUAACUCCGUG
rnacentral:rRNA from 1 species